CAAUAUCAAUUAAAAUUCAAAAUAACCUGGGUUUGGACACAGAACUUCUACUUCUGGAAAUUAAUCCUGAACAAAGAGCUGGACCCAAGAGUAUUUGUUGCACUAUUUUUAAAAAACAAUAUCGCAGUUGGGUGCAUUAUUUUAUGCAUUAGGUAUGUCUAUUGUGAUUCAAUUUUUUAACUAUUAUGGGCUUAAUUUCAUGAAAAGGUAAUUAAGGUAAUAAAUUGAGCCCUUUACAUUCAGUAAUAGAAUUGGGAUACAGAACAUCAGGAGUAAAAAGGAAUUUCCUAAAAAUCUUUCAUAGAGGAAAAAAAAAAAAAGAGAGAUCACACAGAAUAGAAAUCAGUUCUGCAUAAGACUUACAAACCACAAGAAAAUAACGGAGCAAAGAACAUAAUCAAAAUUAUUAGUAUUCAGAAGUUUUAGAACUCAUAUAUUAAUAAGAAAGAGAAGCAAGCCAUUCAGAGAAGAGGAAACGCAAAUGUCAUACGGUAAAUACAUACACUGACAUGCAUUCCCACUAGUAAUUGGGGAAGUGCAAAUUAAAACUGCAAAAGAGAACCAUCCCACAUGCACCAGAGGUGGCCUUCUCACCAGUACUUGACACUCAGCCUUUUCAAAUGCUGGCGAGAUUUAUUAAGAAUGAAGGUGCACACACCCUUUGACCCAGCAAUUUCACUCAUGGACAAAUACCAAGACAAAACCUACAUAUAUAUCUACACAUUUGUAUAAAUAUGUUGCAGCCUUGCUAUCUGAAAAACUAAAGACAACCUGAAAGGCCAGUAACAGGAAAAUGCAUACAUUACUGUCUUGGGUCAGGUUUCCCCCAAAAGUAGAUCCCAAGACUAGAAUUUAAAUGAAAGCACAGGUUGGUAUAUGGAAAAGUGAAACUGGGCAGGUAAGCCAGCUCAAGGUCAGUGAGCAGAUUACCACUGGGUAACAAGCUCAGUACUGCUGAGAUAUCUGGGAAAUGGAG